rnacentral:rRNA from 1 species
UCAGUUCGGAUCGGAGGUCUGCAACCCGACUCCGUGAAGCUGGAUUCGCUAGUAAUCGCGCAUCAGCCAUGGCGCGGUGAAUACGUUCCCGGGCCUUGUACACACCGCCCGUCAAGCCAUGGGAGCUGGGGGUGCCUGAAGGCCGUGACCGCGAGGAGCGGCCUAGGGUAAAACCGGUGACUGGGGCUAAGUCGUAACAAGGUAUC